AUGAACGCUGGCGGCGUGCCUAAUACAUGCAAAUCGAGCGAACAGACGAGGAGCUUGCUCCUCUGACGUUAGCGGCGGACGGGUGAGUAACACGUGGAUAACCUACCUAUAAGACUGGGAUAACUUCGGGAAACCGGAGCUAAUACCGGAUAAUAUAUUGAACCGCAUGGUUCAAUAGUGAAAGACGGUUUUGCUGUCACUUAUAGAUGGAUCCGCGCCGCAUUGGCUAGUUGGUAAGGUAACGGCUUACCAAGGCGACGAUGCGUAGCCGACCUGAGAGGGUGAUCGGCCACACUGGAACUGAGACACGGUCCAGACUCCUACGGGAGGCAGCAGUAGGGAAUCUUCCGCAAUGGGCGAAAGCCUGACGGAGCAACGCCGCGUGAGUGAUGAAGGUCUUCGGAUCGUAAAACUCUGUUAUUAGGGAAGAACAAAUGUGUAAGUAACUAUGCACGUCUUGACGGUACCUAAUCAGAAAGCCACGGCUAACUACGUG
rnacentral:rRNA from 1 species